AGCGAACGCUGGCGGCAGGCCUAACACAUGCAAGUCGAGCGCCCAGCAAUGGGAGCGGCAGACGGGUGAGUAACGCGUGGGGAUCUGCCCAAUGGUACGGAAUAACCCAGGGAAACUUGGAUUAAUACCGUAUGUGCCCUUCGGGGGAAAGAUUUAUCGCCAUUGGAUGAACCCGCGUCGGAUUAGCUAGUUGGUGAGGUAAAGGCUCAGCAAGGCGACGAUCCGUAGCUGGUCUGAGAGGAUGAUCAACCACACUGGGACUGAGACACGGCCCAGACUGCAACAGGAGGCAGCAGUGGGGAAUAUUGGACAAUGGGCGCAAGCCUGAUCCAGCCAUGCCGCGUGAGUGAUGAAGGCCUUAGGGUUGUAAAGCUCUUUCGCCGGUUAAGAUAAUGACGGUAACCGGAGAAGAAGCCCCGGCUAACUUCGUGCCAGCCGCCGCAGUAAAAC
rnacentral:rRNA from 1 species